GAAAAUCGGGGGGAAUAAAACAGAAAAUACUCUGUAUACUCAACAGGAUCUAUGGAGAGAGAGAAACAAAGUGAAUAUCUCAGUCCACUGACUUCUCAUCAGAACCCCUCACUGUGUAUUAGUGGACUUGUAAGGCAAAAGAUUAUAUCCAAUGCCUCACAAAAUCUGCAGACAGGCAUCCCUCGAAGACUUAAUAAAUCUCUUCUGGUCCCACAGAUCAGUUGAAUUUCCUUGAGCUCAGUCAUUUUGAAAAUAUUUCACAGCCUCUCGUUUUCAGAUUUUCCCCUGCAAAUCUCGGCACUGUAAGUGACAAGCCUGGUGAAAGGAGUCACCAGGCCGUGGAGAAACGGUAUCAGGGUAACUGGAAUCCAUCAAUGCUGGCUGAUUAUCGUUGACACUUGAGCAAGAAAGCCUCAGAGACCGAAUACAAAUGAAAAUGAUCAACAAACCAUUUUUAGCUCAGUUGAACUAUUGCAAA